AUUGAACGCUGGCGGCAGGCCUAACACAUGCAAGUCGAGCGGCAGCGGGAAAGUAGCUUGCUACUUUUGCCGGCGAGCGGCGGACGGGUGAGUAAUGCCUGGGAAAUUGCCCAGUCGAGGGGGAUAACAGUUGGAAACGACUGCUAAUACCGCAUACGCCCUACGGGGGAAAGCAGGGGACCUUCGGGCCUUGCGCGAUUGGAUAUGCCCAGGUGGGAUUAGCUAGUUGGUGAGGUAAUGGCUCACCAAGGCGACGAUCCCUAGCUGGUCUGAGAGGAUGAUCAGCCACACUGGAACUGGGACACGGUCCAGACUCCUACGGGAGGCAGCAGUGGGGAAUAUUGCACAAUGGGGGAAACCCUGAUGCAGCCAUGCCGCGUGUAUGAAGAAGGCCUUCGGGUUGUAAAGCACUUUCAGCGAGGAGGAAAGGUCAGUAGCUAAUAUCUGCUGGCUGUGACGUUACUCGCAGAAGAAGCACCGGCUAACUCCGUGCCAGCCGCCGCAGUAACAC
rnacentral:rRNA from 1 species